rnacentral:rRNA from 1 species
CCCCUAGACGUUCUGGGCUGCACGCGCGCUACAAUAAUACGCACAGCGAGUAUCACCGAGCUCGAAAGGGCAAGGUAAACAAUAGAAAAGGUACUGUAAUGGUUAUAGAUCCUUGUAAUUAUUGAUCUUCAACGAGGAAUUCCUAGUAAGUAUGUGUCAUCAUCACGCACUGAUUACGUCCCUGCCCUUUGUACCCACCGCCCGUCGCUCCUACCGAUUGGGUGAGCCGAUGAAACUCUCGGAUGUAGGCUAUUCAUAGCCCGCAGAAGAGAUUUGAAUCGUAGCGCUUAGAGGAAGGAGAAGUCGUAACA